CCCUUAGAUGUUCUGGGCCGCACGCGCGCUGCACUGAUGCAUUCAACGAGCCUAUCCUUGACCGACAGGUCCGGGUAAUCUUUGAAUCUGCAUCGUGACGGGGAUAGAUUAUUGCAAUUAUUAAUCUUCAACGAGGAAUGCCUAGUAGGCGCAAGUCAUCAGCUUGCGUCGAUUACGUCCCUGCCCUUUGUACACACCGCCCGUCGCUCCUACCGAUUGGGUGUGCUGGUGAAAUGUUCGGAUCGGCCGUUUGUCGCGGUUUCCGCGGCUCGUGGCUGAGAAGUUCAUUAAACCCUCCCACCUAGAGGAAGGAGAAGUCGUAACA
rnacentral:rRNA from 1 species